rfam:Cephalotus follicularis DNA, scaffold: scaffold3255, isolate: St1.
AAACCAUGAUGAGGACACUCUUAAAAAUGAUCCUUAAAACGUUCCAUACACCUAGAAAAUGAUUCAUUGGGUUGUUGACAAAACUAGAGAAUGUCAUUCCUAAGUUU